CAUAGGUUAAUGAGGCGAACCGGGGGAACUGAAACAUCUAAGUACCCCGAGGAAAAGAAAUCAACCGAGAUUCCCCCAGUAGCGGCGAGCGAACGGGGAGCAGCCCAGAGCCUGAAUCAGUGUGUGUGUUAGUGGAAGCGUCUGGAAAGGCGCGCGAUACAGGGUGACAGCCCCGUACACAAAAAUGCACAUGCUGUGAGCUCGAUGAGUAGGGCGGGACACGUGGUAUCCUGUCUGAAUAUGGGGGGACCAUCCUCCAAGGCUAAAUACUCCUGACUGACCGAUAGUGAACCAGUACCGUGAGGGAAAGGCGAAAAGAACCCCGGCGAGGGGAGUGAAAAAGAACCUGAAACCGUGUACGUACAAGCAGUGGGAGCCUCUUUAUGGGGUGACUGCGUACCUUUUGUAUAAUGGGUCAGCGACUUAUAUUCUGUAGCAAGGUUAACCGAAUAGGGGAGCCGAA
rnacentral:rRNA from 1 species